rnacentral:misc_RNA from 1 species
AUCGGAUUUCUAUUUCAACCCCUUCCCCAAACCGUCCUUGUUGCUCUUCUCGUCUUCCCCCUCUCCUCCCACCGCAUACAUUUCGUUUCCUCCAGCCAACCAAAAAGCACAGCGGGCGUCGCCAUGGGCGUUAUUGAGCUGGCGAACACGUGGGGGCAUCCUCCCGAAGGGAUCCUCGAGCACAUCUUCUCCUACCUCCCAUCCUAUGCCGACCGCGCGUCUUGCGCAUGCGUGUGCAGGCAGUGGUACUUCUACGCCAGGGAGAAGGAGAGCACGACCCCGCUGUUCCCGUGUCUUCUGAGGCCGUCCAUCAGCGGGGCCUCCUGCUUCCACUUGUUCAGCAGGACCUGCACGAGCAUGCCCACCGUCCCCGCCGCGCGCUUCUGCGGAUCCAUGGAGGGCCAGUGGUUCGUGGUCGCGCGUGACCAGUGGCGUGGGUACGCGCUGCUCCACCUCGCCUCCGGCACGCAGAUCCUGCUCCCGCAAGGCCUGCUGCAGGAAGACGGGGAUCGCUUCAACUUCAACGACCUCUGGGUCGGCCUCGAAUCAACCGACCUGAUCAUCCGUGCCGCGACCGCGUUCCGCGCGCCGCGUUAUCCGGACGGCGACGAGCACUACUUCGUCGCCGCCAUCACCCUCGGCGAGCACAGGGCCGCGGCAUGUCUGAGCGGGAAUGGGCGGUGGGCUCUACUGGAGCCGGACCAAGGCAUAAUAUGUCCAGACUUGGACAAGAUGCUGGUCAUGUACGAAGAGAUGGAGGACGUGAUCUACUACAGCUGCAGUGGACUAGAUGGCUUCUUCUUCCUUACGACUGAGGAGCAUCUUAUGGUGUUCUUACCGGAUGACGACGGGGAAGGCCACAUCACCGGCGAGGUGUUGGCCUACCUCUUCCGGGGCCAUACUAUGGCCUCGCCCCCGGAAGCCGGCCACGUGGUUGCUGCCCGGUACCUCGUGGAGUCGGAGGGUAGGCUGCUCAUGGUGAAGAGGUUCGUCAGUCCAUGUCAGGGGCAGCAGUCCACGGUGUCUUUCCAGGUCUUCACGCUCAUGUGGGACAACUGGAACCGGAAAGUCCCUCGCUGGGAGAAGUCCUCGCCCACCUCCGCCCCUCUGCUCGGGAAGAUGCUCUUCGUCGGCCGAGGCUGCUCCCGGGCCAUCGGAACCGGACGUACCGGCCCGGCCUUCAUCUACUUCUUGGACGACGCGGUUGCAUCGCCUUACGAGUUGCUGACCACUAUUAUCAGAACCGAGAAGGAGUACCGUUGCAGCGACAUGGGCUGGUGCCGCUAUGACCAGCAGUACAUUGGAAAGGACUGGCCCCAAGGGCCCCCGGCAGACUGCUCGCCAUGGAUUUGGCUCUACCGUUGAUCAAUUUAUGGUGGAGCAAUUCUUGGCAUAUCCAUAGUCUGAAACUAGUAGGAAAUGUUGAUGUCGAGGCACGAACGAUUCGAACCUACUACUGCUAGUAAGGUGGGUGCAUGAAACUUUAAUUGGUACUGAGUGCUCACUUCACUGAAUUUGUAGUUGCUGCUUUGCUGGAAAUGGAAGUAUCUGGUCUCAACUUCCUUUUGGCACUGGAAAUGAUCUCUGUGUGCACUCCAUUGUUUUCCUGA